rnacentral:rRNA from 1 species
UACGGAGGGUGCAAGCGUUAAUCGGAAUUACUGGGCGUAAAGCGUGCGCAGGCGGUUUGUUAAGUCUGUUGUGAAAUCCCCGAGCUCAACUUGGGAAUUGCAAUGGAUACUGGCAGGCUGGAGUAUGGUAGAGGAAGGUGGAAUUCCCGGUGUAGCAGUGAAAUGCGUAGAGAUCGGGAGGAACACCGGUGGCGAAGGCGGCAUCCUGGACCGGCAUUGACGCUGAGGCGCGAAAGCUAGGGGAGCAAACGGG